GGAUGCGAUCAUACCAGCACUAAAGCACCGGAUUCCAUCAGAACUCCGAAGUUAAG
rnacentral:rRNA from 1 species